GGCAACUGAUAGACCUGAAACCCACUGGUGAGUUAGAGGAAGGUCUAACCCAAGCAUAGGAAGACUUCUCCUGGUAGAAUGUGCAAAGAUAUUCUUGGAAGAACCUCUGAGCCAGAGGGGGAAGGAUCUAGUCCACACAGAUGCUUGGAGGAUCUUGGACUAGUACUUCACCUUGGAGAUACAACUUGGGACUUUGACCUGGGACUCUGGAUGGUGGACUUCUUCUGGGUCCUUGAGAACUGCAGGCAUCCGAAAUUUCAUCACAACCUCCUGAGGAGCUUCUCUGAAUUUAGCUCAUCUGGAUUCCAAGACAACAGACCUGUAGAUCAUUGCCAAGGUCAUCUUUGGAACUUCUCUAGCUUGAUGGAGACUUCCAAAGUUUGCCCUGUCUCAGAAAAACCUUCAAGAAUCCAUGGCCACUUCAACCCCCCCAAUAAGGUUUUUGGGGAAGAUAUUAAUGGAAAAUAAUUUAAAGGGUAUUCUAAAGUGUUAUGUGUUAUUAUUGUGAUUGACCAUAAUUAUCAACAUUAAACCAGAUUUGUCUAACUUCUGUAUCUGUUUGA
rnacentral:lncRNA from 1 species